GACCGCGUAGCUCAGUUGGAAGAGGUAUGGGCUAGUAUUCCAAAGGUCGUGGGUUCGAAUCCCACCGUGGCCG
rnacentral:tRNA from 1 species